GACGAACGCUGGCGGCGCGCCUAACACAUGCAAGUCGAACGGAGCUGAGAGAAGUUUGCUUUUCUUAGCUUAGUGGCGAACGGGUGAGUAACGCGUGACUAACCGGCCCUGGAGGGGGGGACAACAGUUGGAAACGACUUCUCACACCGCAUAUGCCCACGAUCCGGGAUCGGAUUGAGGGAUAAGGCUUUAUUCGCUUCAGGAUGGACUCUCGCUCAAUUAGCUAGUUGGUGCGGUAACGGCCCACCAACGCGACGAGUGGUAGCCGGAAUGUGAGGUUGAACCGCGACAUCGGGAGUGGGACACAGCCCAGACUCCUACGCGAUGCAGGAGUGGGUGAUAUAGCACAAUGGGGGAAAUCCUGAUGGAGCGACGCCGCGUGGAGGAAGAAGGUUGUCGGAUUGUAAAGUCCUGUCGUGAGUGGCGAUAAUGACGGUACCUAAAAAGAAAGCACCGGCUAACUACGUG
rnacentral:rRNA from 1 species